GAUGAACGCUGGCGGCGUGCCUAAUACAUGCAAGUCGAGCGAACAGAUAAGGAGCUUGCUCCUUUGACGUUAGCGGCGGACGGGUGAGUAACACGUGGGUAACCUACCUAUAAGACUGGGAUAACUUCGGGAAACCGGAGCUAAUACCGGAUAACAUUUGGAACCGCAUGGUUCUAAAGUGAAAGAUGGUUUUGCUAUCACUUAUAGAUGGACCCGCGCCGUAUUAGCUAGUUGGUAAGGUAACGGCUUACCAAGGCAACGAUACGUAGCCGACCUGAGAGGGUGAUCGGCCACACUGGAACUGAGACACGGUCCAGACUCCUACGGGAGGCAGCAGUAGGGAAUCUUCCGCAAUGGGCGAAAGCCUGACGGAGCAACGCCGCGUGAGUGAUGAAGGGUUUCGGCUCGUAAACCUCUGUUAUUAGGGAAGAACAAACGUGUAAGUAACUGUGCACGUCUUGACGGUACCUAAUCAGAAAGCCACGGCUAACUACGUG
rnacentral:rRNA from 1 species